GGAUGUGAGGGCAAUCUGGCUGCAACAUCUGUCACCCCCUUGAUUGCCAGGGUUGAUUCGACUAAUCUGGCUGGCUAGGCAGGUGUCCCCUUCCUCCCUCAGCGCUGCAUGAGCAUCCCUCCCGAAGCUGUGCGCUCAGUUGAAGAGGACGGCCUUCCCUGAAUAGAGGAGGGCUGGUCUUCUGUCAAGGGUAUAUGAGUAGCUGCGCUCCCUUGCUAGAACCUCCAAACAAGCUCUCAAAUAAAUAAAUAAAAGUAUUAGAGAGUAUAACCAUACCG
rnacentral:snRNA from 1 species